GCGUUUGCAUACAAAACGCCGUUUUUUACGGCGUUUAAAACGGUAUUAGCGCCGUCAAAUACGCCGUCCUUAUAGCAGACGCCGUAAAAAACGCGCGUAAACCGUAAAAAACGCCGCAAAAAACGGCGUUUUAGUGUUUGUAAAAAGCGCCGCUUUUAACGCCGUCGGCUUGCCACAGGACGCCGUAAAAAACGCCGUUCUGAAUGCACAAAAGCGCGCGUUAUUUACAGCGUUUUCCUUGUAGUAUAAUGAGCCACGCCCGCUGAUUUCCACAGCCAGUAAUAAUGAACUGUUCUCACCCAAUCAAUGAUGACCUGACUCAGACCAGACUAGUUUACAUCCGAGUUCGAUUGUUAUUUUAAUCACUCGAUUGGUUGGUUGGUUGAUAUGAAGAUGGCCAGGAGAAUCUUUAUUUUGCGUUGUCAGCAGAAGCUGAACAAUUGCACUCGACAGCUGACAGAAGAUUCUGGUGUACUACAAUCAACUUUAGUGAGGCUAGAAACAAUGUAGAGAAGCAUUGAAUGGGCGAGAGGAAGGCUGAUCACUGCACCAGAAGCAGACGAGUUACUCCAAGAUCUCAAUGAAUAUAUAGCAGAGGUACAAAAGCAUAGGCAGCAUGGACAACAAGCCAGUUCCAGUUAUCAGGCUCCACUCUGAUCGAGGUGCACCCCAUUACAGCAUCACCAGAGAGCAACUUUCCUUUCUGAGGACAUGUGGUUUUAGUCUUCCUUCAAUAGCAGAGAUUCUGCAAGUGUCUCUGGCUACCGUCAAACGCCGCAUGGAAGAGAUUCCAUUUGAAUCGCUCUCUGACUUAAUCUGAAAUAACCGAUGUAGAUCACAGACAUUGUGGAUGGAAAUGACCAGCUGGGAUCGGAGGCUGUCAGGGCACAGUUACGGGCAGGUGGAAAUCGUGUACAAAGACACAGAGUACGCAGGGGCUUGGUUCAAAUUAACCCAAUUGCAGCAGCACUACGGGACAUGUCACAAAGACCACACAGAAGGUUGUACAGUGUUGCUGGUCCAAACUCCCUGUGGCACCUAGAUGGCAACCACAAAUUGAUAAGAUGGAGAAUUGUCAUUCAUGGUGUUAUAGAUGGCUACAGUCAUCUCAUAGUCUUUUUGCAUGCCUCAAACAUCAUCCACAGCAGCACUGUAAUGCCUUCUAGGGUCAGAACAGACCAUGGAGGAGAAAACCAUGAUGUCUGUGUGAUGUUGAACAUUUUCAGGGGCUCAGAGAGAAGAGGCAGGAGCGUUCACAACUAAAGAAUUGAGAGGCUCUGGGGUGACAUGUGGCGGGGAUUGACUAACGUAUAUUACAAUCUCUUUCACUUCCUGGAGGCUGAAGGUAUCUCUGACAUAGACAAAGAAAUGCACAUAUGGGGCUCUUCACUUUUUCUAUGUGCCGAGGAUCAACAGGUGUUUAUCAGCCUUUACUCAACAGUGGAACAACCAUGGGCUGAGAACAGAACAACACCAGACACCCAUGCAGAUAUUUGUUCGAGGCUGCCUGGAACAACAAGGACAGCGAACCACUGCAAUGAAAGAGAUCUUUGGCAGAACAGCUGGACCAGCAGAUGAACCUGUUCUUCAGGCACCGGCAGCAGAAUCAAGCUUGCAGGAGGCACCAGUGUUUGACUGGCCAGAGGGAGUAGCUGUUCCUCAAAGUGACUUCACA